rnacentral:rRNA from 1 species
GUAUGAACGGCAAAACCUCUUCCAACUGUCUCCCCUCCCAUCCUUUUAAAUUUCCUCCUGUGUGAAGAAGCACAGAUAUAUCAGAAAGACGAGAAGACCCUGUCGAGCUUUAACCACUAAGUGGGCCUUACCCUUUUCAGGCACCACCUAAAGGUUUUGGUUGGGGCAACCAUGGAGAAAAAAGAUCCUCCAGAACAAAUAGAAGAAAGCUUUUCACUAUUUUACGACUGAGAACCAAGAACUGGUAUUCGGAAAAAGUUACCGCAGGGAUAACAGCGUCAUCUCCUCUAAGAGUCCUUAUUGACGAGGAGGUUUGCGACCUCGAUGUUGGAUUGGGGCCCCCUUAGGGUGCAGAAGCUCUAAACGGUUAGACUGUUCGUCUAUAAAAGCCCUACAUGAUCUGA